UCCGGAGGGAGCUAGCGUUGUUCGGAAUUACUGGGCGUAAAGCGCACGUAGGCGGCGAUUCAAGUCAGAGGUGAAAGCCCGGGGCUCAACCCCGGAACUGCCUUUGAAACUAGAUUGCUUGAAUCCUGGAGAGGUGAGUGGAAUUCCGAGUGUAGAGGUGAAAUUCGUAGAUAUUCGGAAGAACACCAGUGGCGAAGGCGACUCACUGGACAGGUAUUGACGCUGAGGUGCGAAAGCGUGGGGAGCAAACAGG
rnacentral:rRNA from 1 species